rnacentral:rRNA from 1 species
AGAGAGAGACAUGCGCGCAUAUCAAUAAGCGGAGGAAAAGAAACUAACAAGGAUUCCCCUAGUAACGGCGAGUGAAGCGGGAAGAGCUCAAAUUUGAAAUCUUAAAGGGUUUCCCUUUACGAAUUGUAGUUUAAAGAAGUGUUUUCUGUUGAGGUUUUGGUAAAAGUUCUUUGGAAUAGGACAUCAUAGAGGGUGAGAAUCCCGUAUUUGACCUUUACUUUCAACUUUGUGAUACACUUUCAAAGAGUCGGAUUGUUUGGGAAUGCAGUCCAAAAUGGGUGGUAAAUUUCAUCUAAAGCUAAAUAUUGGCGAGAGACCGAUAGCGAACAAGUACCGCGAGGGAAAGAUGAAAAGAACUUUGAAAAGAGAGUUAAACAGUACGUGAAAUUGUCAAAAGGGAAGCGUUUGACACCAGUGUUGUUUUUCUGAAAAUCAAUUAAAGAACUGUUUAUGCUAAGCUGUUUAGACUUUAUCAGCUAUCUGUUUAGUUUUGAGCUUUUCUUUAAUGCACUUUUCAGUUAACAAGUCAACAUCAAUUUCUUUUGCUGUAAAAAAGCUUGAGGAAGGUGGCUUGAGAUUCGUCUUAAGUGUUUAUAGCCUCUUGCCUAUGCAGUCGGAGAGAUUGAGGUCUGCAGCGUAGAUCCUUCGGGGCUAAAUGCAUUUGUGCUAAGUUAUAGCAUUUUAUAGACAACUUGUUGACUAUGAUUUGUCUUGUAGCUUACUCGCUUAUGUUAUUUUACCUACGCUUAGGAUGUUGACGCAUGAGAUAUACGC